rnacentral:rRNA from 1 species
AACGAACGCUGGCGGCAGGCCUAACACAUGCAAGUCGAGCGCCCCGCAAGGGGAGCGGCGGAAGGGUGAGUAACGCGUGGGAAUAUGCCCUUUGCUACGGAAUAGUCUCGGGAAACUGGGGGUAAUACCGUAUACGCCCUUUGGGGGAAAGAUUUAUCGGCGAAGGAUUAGCCCGCGUUGGAUUAGGUAGUUGGUGGGGUAAUGGCCUACCAAGCCGAGGAUCCAUAGCUGGUUUGAGAGGAUGAUCAGCCACACUGGGACUGAGACACGACCCAGACCCCGACGGGAGGCAGCAGUGGGGAAUCUUAGACAAUGGGGGCAACCCUGAUCUAGCCAUGCCGCGUGAGAGAUGAAGGCCUUAGGGUUGUAAAGCUCUUUCAGCUGGGAAGAUAAUGACGGUACCAGCAGAAGAAGCCCCGGCUAACUCCGUG